GACGAACGCUGGCGGCGUGCUUAACACAUGCAAGUCGAACGGAAAGGCCUGCAGCUUGCUGCGGGUACUCGAGUGGCGAACGGGUGAGUAACACGUGGGUGAUCUGCCUUGCACUUCGGGAUAAGCUUGGGAAACUGGGUCUAAUACCGGAUAGGACAGCUGUUUAGUGUCAGUUGUGGAAAGUUUUUUCGGUGCAAGAUGAGCUCGCGGCCUAUCAGCUUGUUGGUGGGGUAAUGGCCUACCAAGGCGUCGACGGGUAGCCGGCCUGAGAGGGUGUACGGCCACCUUUGGACUGGGGUACGGCCCAGACUCCUACGGGAGGCAGCAGUGGGGAAUAUUGCACAAUGGGCGGAAGCCUGAUGCAGCGACGCCGCGUGGGGGAUGAAGGCCUUCGGGUUGUAAACUCCUUUCGACAGGGACGAAGCUUUUGUGACGGUACCUGUAUAAGAAGCACCGGCUAACUACGUG
rnacentral:rRNA from 1 species